AGUAACGGCGAGUGAAGCGGGAAAAGCUCAAAUUUAAAAUCUGGCAGUCUUUGGCUGUCCGAGUUGUAAUCUAGAGAAGCAUUAUCCGCGCUGGACCGUGUACAAGUCUCCUGGAAUGGAGCGUCAUAGAGGGUGAGAAUCCCGUCUUUGACACGGACUGCCAGGGCUUUUUUGAUGUGCUCCCAAAGAGUCGAGUUGUUUGGGA
rnacentral:rRNA from 1 species